rnacentral:misc_RNA from 1 species
GAUGAAGAACGUAGCGAAAUGCGAUAAGUAAUGUGAAUUGCAGAAUUCAGUGAAUCAUCGAAUCUUUGAACGCAUCUUGCACUCCUUGGUAUUCCGAGGAGCAUGCCUGUUUGAGUGUCAUUAAAUUCUCAACCGCACUGACUUUGAAUUGGUGUGGCUUGGAUUUGGGGGGAAAAUUGUUGUGGGCUUUUUUGUAUAGUCUGCUCCCCUGAAAUUGAUUAGCGGUACCUUUGUGGAACUGUCUACAGGUGUGAUAAUUAUCUACAUCCUAGACAUCUGCUGGAAUGCUGCUUUCUAAACCUUACUUGUAUUGACAAUCUUGACCUCAAAUCAGGUAGGACUACCCGCUGAACUUAAGCAUAUCAAUAAGCGGAGGA